UAUCUGUUCUUCCUCUCAAAUCCUUGGGAACCUAGGUGUGAGUGCUGCUUCAGUGCAACACACCUAUUCAAGGAUUCAAAGAGGCUGAGCC
rnacentral:pre_miRNA from 1 species